GGUAAAUCUUAUCCUCGGACUUCAGUUAUUGUGGGAAUAUCUGUAGGCAUAGUGGUUCUCUCCAUAGCUAUUUUCAUACUAUUCAAGAAAAAACACAGAUGUUUACCAAAGACAGGUAUACAACAAGUAACUUUUAGUAUUAGUACACCAACUAAAUUAUAAUAAUUGCACGAAAAAUGAUUAACAUCCUACAAACCAUAAUUUAUAUAAGAAUCUCAAUAGUAAUGCUCAAAAGUAAAAGUAUGAAAAAUAUAAAAUGUUUCAGAGCUUGAAAACCCAAAGAGCCAAAACCGUACAAGGAAACCGUCUACGGUAAACUUUUACCAUAGAAAUUUGAAACUUUAGUUUUAGCACUACCAAAUACAUGACUGUGAACUGGAAACAUAAGAACAGAUUUACUAUGUAUUAUCGACAGUGUAAAUUGGGUACCAUCUUAGCGAACAGAGCGGACAAAACAAAGUUUAGAAUUUCUUUAUUUUAAUCAUAUCUAUCUAUUAGUUAAGAUUGACGCUUAUGAAUUUUAUGUAUAUUCGGCUGUAGCCCGUGCAACAUCUGGUGCUGAAUAGGUUUUCUCACGCUUGGGGUUGUAGAAAAGUAUGCAGUCUUUUUAGAAACAUUUAUCAAUUUGCAAUCACAGGGGUAUUUCCUGUCAUCUUAAAUAUACUGUUUUAACGUGGUUGUAACAAUAAGAACUAUCAAGGGUACCACACAAUUUCAUAAACCUAAAUGGCCGGCUUCUUUACUGCUAUUGGACUAAAAUAUAUUAUUUCGCUUUGAUUCCGUUGUAUUUCGUUUCUUCACUUUCCAUUUCGUUUCGGUUUGUUACAUUUCGUUGCAUUUCGCAAUAUGUUGUUUCGUUUCGUUCUGAUAACGGUUAUCACAUUACAAAUAAUGUAUAAAUACCCUCCUAGAAUACCAUAUUUGCAUUCACAAUAUUAUACAAAUUGAUAUACUGCUCGCUUCAAUUUUUUUGAAUAUUAUGCGAUACCCCUAUUACAGGAACAUGUUAUUCUAUUUUUAAAAUAUUGCAACGCUUGAGAAGCUUUAGCUAAGGAUAGUUUUUGUUUUAAUUGCAUUCAUUUAUUUGUUAAUAGGUACCUCUCAAGAUGCAGACAGAUUAAGCAUAAUCAUCUAUACAUUCCUGUCACAUAACAAAAGAUAAUGCACAUGUUUAUCUAAAGGAAGAUAUAUGAUAUAUUGAUAAAUAUGAAUAGACCA
rnacentral:lncRNA from 1 species